GGAUACGGUGGCUACGGAGGAUAUGGAGGAUACGGAGGAGGAUUUGGAGGUUUCGGAGGCGGCGGCUUCGGAGGUGGCGGCUACGGUUAUUAUGGAUAAAUGAAUGGAACUCAAUCAUGAAUGAUCGAUGUGAUAUACAAUGGCAUUAUAGAUUUUUGUUUUUU